ACGGAUGGGCGGAGGCGACCGCGUUCCGGGCAGGCGCAGCGCCGGACUUGGCCGCAGGGUGGCGCGGCGCGGGCGCGGAGCGUGGGAAGGGCGGGCGGAGCUGAGUCCGCAGCGUUGCGCCUCCCGCGGGUUGCUGCGCCGCGGGGCUGCGAUUGCUGUGCUGCGCCGGAAGCCGCGGGCCGCCCAGAGAAACAGCAAGUGACACAGCAGAGGACAACUGGCCCAGCCAAACCUGUUGCUGCUGCAGUGCUUGUUAUGUCAAAAUAGAGGGGUCUCUGGACCUUACCCCUCCCUUGCCAAGGCUCCUGGGUGUCCUUCUGCCAGGCUGUACAGAGUCUGUCUUUAGCCAGGGUGGUGUUGGUGUUGUGGCCCCCACCUGCCACCCAGCAGGGGAAGAAUGCCAGAGCCAG